GACGAACGCUGGCGGCGUGCUUAACACAUGCAAGUCGUACGGUAAGGCCCUUUCGGGGGUACACGAGUGGCGAACGGGUGAGUAACACGUGAGUAACCUGCCCACAACUUUGGGAUAACGCUAGGAAACUGGUGCUAAUACUGGAUAUGUGCUCCUGCUGCAUGGUGGGGGUUGGAAAGCUCCGGCGGUUGUGGAUGGACUCGCGGCCUAUCAGCUUGUUGGUGGGGUAGUGGCCUACCAAGGCGGCGACGGGUAGCCGGCCUGAGAGGGUGACCGGCCACAUUGGGACUGAGAUACGGCCCAGACUCCUACGGGAGGCAGCAGUGGGGAAUAUUGCACAAUGGGCGCAAGCCUGAUGCAGCAACGCCGCGUGCGGGAGGACGGCCUUCGGGUUGUAAACCGCUUUCAGCAGGGACGAAGCUUUUUGUAACGGUACCUGCAGAAGAAGCACCGGCUAACUACGUG
rnacentral:rRNA from 1 species